ensembl:lncRNA
UUAGGGUUAGGGUUAGGGUUAGUGUUAUUGUUAGGGUUAGGGUAAGGCAUAGGUUUAGGGUAAGGGUUAGGGUUAGGGUUAGGGUAGGGUUAGGGUUAGGGUUAGGGUUAGGGUUACGGUAGGGUUAGGGUUUGGGUUACGGUAGGGUUAGGGUUAGGUUACAGUAAGUUUAGGGUUAUGGUAAAGGUUAGGGUUAGGGGUAACGUUAGGGUUGCGGUAGGGUUAGUGUUAGGUUUAGGGUCAGGGUUGGGGUUAGGGUUAGUGUUAGGUUUUGGUUUAGGCUUAGGAUUAGUUUUUGGGUUGGGGUUAGGUUAGGGUUAGGGUUAGGGGUUAGGGAAGGGUAGGGGUAGGGUUAGGGUUAGGGUUAGGGUAGGGGUUAGGGGUAGGGGUAGGGUUAUGGUUAGGCGUAGGGUUAGGGUUAGUUUAGGUUUAGCAUUAGCAUUAGGGUAAGGGCAUGGUAUGGGUUAGGGUUAGGGUUAGGGUUAGGGGUAGGGUUAGGGUUAGGGUUAGGGUUAGGGUUAGGGUUAGGGUUAGGGUUAGGGUUAGGGUUAGGGUAGGGGUUAGGGAAAGGGUAAGGGUUAGGGUUAGGGUUACUUUUAGGGUUAGGGUUAGGGUUAGGGUUAGGGUUAGGGUUAGGUUAGGGUUAGCGUUAAUGUUAGGGUUAAUGUUAGGGUUAGUGUAGGGUUAGGGUUAGGCUUAGGGUUAGGGUUAGGGGUAGGGUUAGGGUUAGGGUUAGGGUUAGGGUUAGGGUUAGGGUUAGCGUUAGGGUUAGGGUUAGGGUUAGGGUUACGGUUAGGGUUAGGGUUAGGGUUAGGGGUUAGGGUAAGGAUUAGGGUUUGGGUUAGGGUAGGGUUAGGGUUUGGGUUAGCGUUAGGGUUAUGGUUAGGGUUAGGGUUAGGGUAAGGGUAGGGUUAGGGUUUGGUUUUGGGUUAGGGUUAGGUUUAGGGUUAAGGCUUAGUGUUAUUGUUAGGGGUAGGGUUAGGGUUAGGGUUUGGGUUAGGGUUAGGGUUACGAUUAGGCUCAUUAGGGUUAGGGUUAGGGUUUGGGUUAGGCACAUUACGGUUAGGGUUAGGCACAUUACAGUUAGGGUUAGGGUUAUGGUUAGGGUUAGAGUAGGGUUAGGGUUAGGUUUAGGGUUAGGGUACCAUCAAUUCGGGUUAGGGUUAUGUUUAGGCACGUUAGGGUUAGGGUUAGGCACGUUAGGGUUUGGGUUAGGCAUGUUAGUGUUAGGGUUAGGGUUAGGCACGUUAGGGUUAGGGUUAGACACGUUAGGGUUAGGGUUAGGCAUGUUAGUGUUAGGGUUCGGGUUAGGCACGUUAGGGUUAGGGUUAGGGUUAGGCACGUUAGGGUUAGGCACGUUAGGGUUAGGGUUAGUGUUUGGGUAAUGGUUUGGGUUAGGGUUAGGGUUCAGGUUAGGGUUCGGGUUAGGGAUUGGGUUUGGGUUAGGGAUAGGGAUAGGGUUAGGGUUAGGAUAAGGGUAAGGUUUUUGUUAGGCGUAGGUUUAUGGUUACGUUUUGGGUUGGGGUUAAGUUAGCAUUUGGUUUAAAGUUAGGGAAAGGAUAAGGGUUAGGAGUAGGUUUAGGGAAUGGGUUCGGGUUAGGGUAGGGUUAGUGUUAGGGUACGUUUAGGGUAAGGGUAAGUGUUCGGUUUCUGGUUAGGGUUAUUGUAGGGUUAAGGUUAGGGUUACAGUAAGGGUAGGGUUAGGGUUUGGUUUUGGGUUAGGGUUAGGUUUAGGGUUUGGGUAAGGGUUAGUGUUAUUGUUAGGGUUAGGCUUAAGUUUAGGUUUAGUGUAAGGGUUUAGGGUUAGGGUUAAGGUUACAGUAAGUUUAGGGUUAUGGUAACGGUUAGGGAUAGGAUUAUGGUAGGGUUAGGGUUAGAGGUAAUGUUAGUUUUAGGGUUAGGUUUAGGGUCCGGGUUGGGGUUAGGGUUAGGGUUAGGUUUUGGUUUAGGCUUAGGAUUAGAUUUUGGGUUGGGGUUAGGUUAGGGUUAGGUUUAGGUUUAGGGUGAGCAUUAGUGUUAUUUUUAGGGUUAGGGUUCGGAUUAAGUUUAGCGUUAGGGUUUAGGUUUAGUGUUAGGGUUAAGGUUACGGUAUGUUUAGGGUUAUGAUAAAGGUUAGGUUUAGAGGUAAGGUUAGGGUUAGGUUUAGGGUCAGGGUUAAUGUUAGUGUUAGGUUUAGGGUUAGGGUUUAGGGUUAGGGUAAGGGUUAGGUUUUUGCUUGGGGUUAGCUUAAGGUUAGGGUUAGGGUUAGGUUUAGACACAUUAGGGUUAGGGUUGGGCACGUUAGGGUUAGGGUUUGGCACGUUAGAGUUAGGGUUAGCGUUAGGUUUAGACAUUAGGGUUAGGGUUAGGCACGUUAGGGUUAGGGUUAGGGUUAGGGUUAGGCACAUUAGGGUUAGGGUUAGGGUUAGGGUUAGGGUUAGGGUUAGGGUUAGGGGUAGGGUUAGGGAUAGGGUUAGGAUUAGGGUUAGGGUUUGGGUUGAGGUUGGGGUUUGUGUUGGGUUUUGUGUUAGGGUUAGGGUUUGUGUUAAGUUUAGUGUAGGGUAAGGGUUAGUGUUAGGGUACGUUUAGGGUAAGGGUAAGGGUUCGGUUUCCGGUUAGGGUAAGUGUUAGGGUUAUUGUAGGGUUAAGGUUAGGGUUACGGUAAGGGUAGGGUUAGGGUUUGGUUUUGGGUUAGGGUUAGGGUUAGGGUUAGUGUUAGGGUUAGGGUUAGGGUUAGGGUUAGGGUUAGGGUUAGGGUUUGGGUUAGGGUUAGGGUUAGGGUUAGGGUUAGGGUAAGGUUAGGGUUAGGGACAGGGUUACGUUUAGGGUUAGGUUUAGGGUUAGGGUUUAGUGUUAGGGUAAGGGUUAGGUUUUUGCUAGGGGAUAGCUUAAGAUUAGGUUUAGGUUUUUGGUUAGGUUUUUGGUUGGGGUUAGCUUAAGGUUAGGGUUAGGUUUUUGGUUGCGGUUAGGUUAAGGUUAGGGUUAGGGUAAGGAUUAUACUUAGGGUUUGGGUUUGGGUUAGGGUUCGGGUAAGUUUAGGUUUUGGGUAAGGGUUAGGUUUAGUGUUAGGGUUAGGUUUAGUGUUAGGGUUAGGGUUAGGGUUAGGUUUAGGCUAAGGUUAUGGUUAGGGUUCGGUUUAGGGUUAGGGUUAGGAUUACGGUUAAGAUUAGGGUUAAGGUAGGUUUAGGGUCAGUGUUAGGGUUAGCGUUUAGGGUUAGGAUUAGGGUUAGGGUUAGGAUUGGGGAUAGACUUGCGCUUUCGGUUAGGGUAAGUGUAAGGGUUAGCUAAGGGUUAGGGUUAGGGUUAAUUUUAGGGUAGGGUAAUGGUUAGGGUUAGGUUUAGGGUUAGGGUUAGUGUUAGGGUUAUGGUUAGGGUUAGGUUUUGUUUUAGGCUUAGGGUUUGGGUUAGGGUUAGGUUUUGUGUUGGGGUUAGGUUUAGAGUUAGGGAUCGGGUUAGGGUUAGGGUUAAGGAUAGGAUUAGGGUUAGGGUUAGGGUAAGGUUUAGAGUUUGGUUUUGGGUUGCGGUUAGGUUAGGUUUAGGGUUAGGGUACGAUUAUGGUAAGGGUAAGGGUUAGGUUUAGGGCUAGGGUUAGGUUAGGGUCAGGGUCAGGGUCAGGGUAGGGUUGAUUAGGGUAAGGUCAGGGUCAUUGUCAGGGUUAGGGUUACGGUAUGGGUUAGGGUCAGGGUCAGGGUCAGGACUAGGGCUAGGUUAGGGUAAGGUUAGGGUUAGGGUUAGGUUUUGGUUAAGGGUUAGGGUUAGGAUUUGGCUUAUUGUUAUGAUUAGGGUUAGGGUAAGGGUUUGGAUUAGGAUAAGGCUAUGGUUAGGGUUUGUUUUAGGGUUAUGGAUAGGAUUAAGGUUAGUGUUAGUUUUUUGGUUAGUGUUAGGGUUAUGUUAGGUUUAGGGUUAGGGUUAGGGUUAAGGUUAUAUUCUGUUUAGGGUUAGGUUUAGGGUUAGGGUUAAGGUUAGGGUUUGUCUUAAUGUUGGUUUAGGGAAAGGGUUGUGUUAGUGU